rnacentral:rRNA from 1 species
AUUGAACGCUGGCGGCAGGCCUAACACAUGCAAGUCGAGCGAGCGGCGGACGGGUGAGAAAUGUCUGGGAAACUGCCUGAUGGAGGGGGAGAACUACUGGAAACGGUAGCUAAUAUCGCAUAUGCUCAGAUGUGCCCACAUGGGAUUAGAUAGUAGGUGGGGUAAUGGCGCACCCAGGCGACGAUCCCUAGCUGGUCUGAGAGGAUGUCCAGCCACACUGGAACUGAGACACGGUCCAUACUCCUACGGGAGGCAGCAGUGGGGAAUAUUGCACAAUGGGCGCAAGCCUGAUGCAGCCAUGCCGCGUGUGUGAAGAAGGCCUUCGGGUUGUAAAGCACUUUCAGCGAGGAGGCGUUACCCGCAGAAGAAGCACCGGCUAACUCCGUGCCAGCAGCCGCGGUAAUAC